UACGAGGGGGGCAAGCGUUGUUCGGAAUUACUGGGCGUAAAGCGCACGUAGGCGGCUUUGUAAGUUAGAGGUGAAAGCCCAGGGCUUAACUCUGGAAUUGCCUUUAAGACUGCAUCGCUAGAAUCGUGGAGAGGUGAGUGGAAUUCCGAGUGUAGAGGUGAAAUUCGUAGAUAUUCGGAAGAACACCAGUGGCGAAGGCGACUCACUGGACACGUAUUGACGCUGAGGUGCGAAAGCGUGGGGAGCAAACAGG
rnacentral:rRNA from 1 species